rnacentral:rRNA from 1 species
AGUGAACGCUGGCGGUAGGCCUAACACAUGCAAGUCGAACGGCAGCACAGUAAGAGCUUGCUCUUACGGGUGGCGAGUGGCGGACGGGUGAGGAAUACAUCGGAAUCUACUUUUUCGUGGGGGAUAACGUAGGGAAACUUACGCUAAUACCGCAUACGACCUACGGGUGAAAGCAGGGGAUCUUCGGACCUUGCGCGAUUGAAUUAGCCGAUGUCGGAUUAGCUAGUUGGCGGGGUAAAGGCCCACCAAGGCGACGAUCCGUAGCUGGUCAGAGUGGAUGGUCAGCCACACUGGAACUGAGACACGGUCCAGACUCCUACGGGAGGCAGCAGUGGGGAAUAUUGGACAAUGGGCGCAAGCCUGAUCCAGCCAUACCGCGUGGGUGAAGAAGGCCUUCGGGUUGUAAAGCCCUUUUGUUGGGAAAGAAAAGCAGCAGGUUAAUACCCCGCUGUCCUGACGGUACCCAAAGAAUAAGCACCGGCUAACUUCGUG